rnacentral:rRNA from 1 species
GACGGGGGAUGCGAGCGUUAUCCGGAAUGAUUGGGCGUAAAGGGUCCGCAGGUGGCCCGGUCAGUCCGCUGUCAAAACCUGGGGCUCAACCCUGGAGAGGCGGCGGAGACCACCGGGCUUGAGUCCGGUAGGGGCAGAGGGAAUUCCCGGUGGAGCGGUGAAAUGCGUAGAGAUCGGGAAGAACGCCAAGGGCGAAGGCACUCUGCUAGGCCUGAUUUCGCGACUGACACCCAGGGACGAGAGCCAGGGGAGCGAAUGGG